UUCUUCUGUAACAAACACAAAGUCUCUUUCAUCUUGAAUUAAAUUUUAAACGAAGACUUGUCGUAGUGGACGAAGGGUUUGAAAAUUGGAGAAUAUCACUCGGGUGAUAUCCUCUGAUAUCCCAUAGUUUUAGCUCAUAUUUGGUCACGUGAUGAUUUAGACCAAUCGCAUACGAGCAAAAAUGUUUGAUAGAUCAUAACAUCGGAUUUUCCCUAGCUUUAGCUGGGGCAUAUUAAGUCUCGUGACGUGUUCACAUUAAAAAAAAUAAAUAUUUAGUUUUUAAUAAUCUCCAGCAUUUUAACUAAGGGGGUAGUACAUUUUCAAUAAAUUUAAAACCUUCGUAAACCGUUGCUUUACAUGCGGGUCGGCACACCACAAUAGUGUCUCCACUAUGCCCACACUUGUGAACGUCUUACCCUCUCGCACUUUAUAUAUUUCUCCCAUUUCCUAAUGCGUUGCGGGUAAAGUGUCACGGGUUGCGAUUAAAUUGCUAUCGGUGAAAGGAACCACCUUUCAUCUCCUAACCGUUCUUUUUCUUAUUUACCAAGUGUUCAGUUCAGAAGCGGGAUCGAGCCGUUCUGCUUGCUCUAUUGUGUAACAAAAUGGAUUAUGUAGCAUUUGAGAUCGAUUUUGUUUCUCAAAACAUAACCCGAGACGUAAUUUGCUUGAAUCAACGAUUGCAAGAUAUUCAUCAAAACUCCCAGACGAGACUGCUUCUACGCGUCUUAUCUUGUAGAGUAUAGAAAAAGUGUAAACUCGAAUUCACUUGUUCACUUACAAAAAUUACAAGGUGACCGAGGAGUAAUUGGGUUCUACAUAUGACAGAGAUUUUUAACUUAUGCAGAUGUGAUUCAGUUUUGAAAAAAGAACUUCGAAGGACGAAAGAUAACCUACGAUACAAAGAUGAGAAGAAAAAUAUGGCUAUAAUCAGUCUUCAGAAAGGAAUUAUUAGAGUGAUUUAACAAGAGGACGGGAACAUCAUUUCAGAACGGGAAAGCGCGGGGAUAGUCUGGACACGACUCUAUUUCGACUUCCGGUGUUGGCUUUGCCGUUCUCCCCGACAAGUUCAGGACGUCAUUACGCUAGUUUUCGCGUCGCGAUCAAAACGCCUAAGAUUUGCGUAAAUUGUGCACUUAUAGACGAGAUAAUGUUGUAUGGAAUGAUUUCAGAACUCAUUUCCAGGAUAACCUGGUCCCAUUCUUUGUUUUAUUCGGUGUAUUUGUAAAAAUUUACCGCUACAUUUAUGCUAGAUUCCAAAUAGGAAACGCGAUCGUUGGCAAGCGAUCCAAGAUUCCAGGGCUUAGUUCACUUUUAAUUGAGCAAGGCUUAAAACAACGUAAAGGCUUUUCUUUGAUACAUUUCUUAAAUCCUGUAUGAAAUCUCUAGGAAUGGGAUGCUGUUAAUUUUAUCAUGAAUUAAUUUAUUAAUAAACUUGCCUCAUGAUGAAGUUUAUCAAAAUGAAA